AUACGGAGGAUCCGAGCGUUAUCUGGAUUUAUUGGGUUUGAAGGGUGCGCAGGCGGCCAUUUAAGUCAGCGGUUAAAUCGUGGGGCUCAACCCCAUUCUGCCGUUGAUACUGGGUGGCUUGAUUGCGGUCGAGGUUGGCGGAAUUCGUUGUGUAGCGGGGAAAUGCAUAGAUAUGACGAAGAACACCGAUUGCGUAGGCAGCUGACCAGACCGCAAAUGACGCUCAUGCACGAAAGUGCGGGGAUCGAACAGGAUUAGAUACCCUGGUAGUCCGCACAGUAAACGAUGAAUACUUGUUUUCGGCGAUAUAAUGUCGGAGGCAAAGCGAAAGCGAUAAGUAUUCCACCUGGGGAGUACGCCGGCAACGGUGAAACUCAAAGGAAUUGACGGGG
rnacentral:rRNA from 1 species